rnacentral:rRNA from 1 species
CCUACGGGAGGCAGCAGUGGGGAAUAUUGCACAAUGGGCGAAACCCUGAUGCAGCGAAGCCGCGUGAGUGAAGAAGUAUUUCGGUACGUAAAGCUCUAUCAGCAGGGAAGAAAAAAAGUCCUUGGACGUUGGACGGUACCUGACUAAGAAGCACGGGCUUACUACGUCCCAGCAGGCGCGGUAAUUAGUAGGGGGGAUGCGUUAUCCGGAUUUACUGGGUGGAAAGGGAGGGUACACGGGCGGGCAAGCUUGGAGGGAAAUGCCGGGGCCCAACCCCGGAACUGCCUUUGAAACUGUGCGGCUGGAGUGCAGGAGGGGCAGGCGGAAUGCGUGGUGUAGCGGUGAAAUGCGUAGAUAUCAGGAGGAACACCGGUGGCGAAGGCGGCCUGCUGGACUGCGACUGACGUUGAGGCCCGAAAGCGUGGGGAGCAAACAGGAUUAGAUACCCCUGUAGUC